rnacentral:lncRNA from 1 species
AUCAUUAGCUUGCUGUAGAGUAGAAAUGUUCUCAGUUUGCUUUUCAACCACAGUCUCAAGAUUCCUGACAGAAGCCUGAGACGUCUGUAACUCUAAUAGAGCUGUGUCCUUCUCUGCACCUAGGUCUGAAAUUUGAGCAUGCAGAUUGCUCCUGGCUUCUUCAAACUGCUUGUCCAAGGUGGAGUUGUUUUCUAGCUGUUCGGAAAGCUCCUCUUUCAGCCGUGUCACCUCAUUCUCAAGAUUUUGUACUGAAGUCUCUGACUGCUUCAGUUGUGUUAGCACUGUAUCCUUCUCUUCUUGUAUUGCCUUCAACUCAUCCUGCAUCUCCGCCUUGGCUUGUUGUGAUUGCUCAGUCAAAGUGUAGAUGUUCUUCUGUAACUCAUCAUUAGCUUGCUGUAGAGUAGAAAUGUUCUCAGUUUGCUUUUCAACCACAAUCUCAAGAUUCCUGACAGAAGCCUGAGACGUCUGUAACUCCAAUAGAGCUGUGUCCUUCUCUGCACCUAGGUCUGAAAUUUGAGCAUGCAGAUUGCUCCUGGCUUCUUCAAACUGCUUGUCCAAGGUGGAGUUGUUUUCUAGCUGUAUGGAAAGCUCCUCUUUCAGUCGUGUCACCUCGUUCUCAAGAUUUUGUACUGAAGUCUCUGACUGCUUCAGUUGUGUUAGCACUGUAUCCUUCUCUUCUUGUAUUGCCUUCAACUCAUCCUGCAUCUCCGCCUUGGCUUGUUGUGAUUGCUCAGUCAAAGUGUAGAUGUUCUUCUGUAGCUCAUCAUUAGCUUGCUGUAGAGUAGAAAUGUUCUCAGUUUGCUUUUCAACCACAAUCUCAAGAUUCCUGACAGAAGCCUGAGACGUCUGUAACUCCAAUAGAGCUGUGUCCUUCUCUGCACCUAGGUCUGAAAUUUGAGCAUGCAGAUUGCUCCUGGCUUCUUCAAACUGCUUGUCCAAGGUGGAGUUGUUUUCUAGCUGUAUGGAAAGCUCCUCUUUCAGUCGUGUCACCUCAUUCUCAAGAUUUUGUACUGAAGUCUCUGACUGCUUCAGUUGUGUUAGCACUGCAUCCUUCUC